UAAAUGAAUAAAAAAAAAGAAUUCUUUUCUUAUUUACUACAUGGAUACACUAUAAAAAAACAUUCAUUUAUUGACAUUGGUGAUUCUCAUAGCUUUCUUCUUGUCUUAAAAUUCAAUAUGAGCCUAAAGUAAUUUCAUUUUGAUACUCUUGAUAACCUUUAAAUCUAAAUUUAAAAGCUCAACAGUGUGUUCUGAAUGGUUAAGUUGAUACAACAAUCCAUUCAGUCUGAUGACCUGUUGUCAGUUGUUUCAAUAACCAUCAAGCUCUAUCAUCAAAAUUAAUAAAUAUAAAUUGAGCUACAAUAGACCUAGUCUAUUGUAGUACUAUAGUCUCAGUGGAGGGACACAAGGUGCCCCACUCACAAUACAAACCUAACCUAACCUAUCAUUAAACCCAUAAUACAACCUGCCGCACAUUAAGUCAUGAUCUAUGACAUUAAAAGUAGUUUUGUAAUUUUUUUAAAUUUAUUUAUUGUCCAACAGGAAAAUCCCAAUACAAAAGACAAUUAUGAGAAAUAUGAUAACAAAAAAAAAAAACUCAACUAGAGUAGUACACAAUAGAAAAAAAAAUUCAGAAAAAACUGACCCAAAACACCUCCAGCCCACCUAAUCCUGAUCAAAUCAAGAAUUUUCAUGAAUUGAAUCACCUUUUUUUUCAAAGUGGUUGUAGAGCCAUUAAAAAAGUCAAUGUUAUUCUCACUAUUUAGUGUGUUAAAUCAUGAACAGGCUCGGUAUAAAGGAGGAUUUCUGCUCAAGUUGGUAAGGGUAUUCUUAAGAUAAAAUUGAACUGACCUUCUUGUGUGUAUAGGAGAUACAAAAAAAUUUAAUUCAUCCAAAAGGUCUGGAGCACCAAUUUUAUGGCAGCAGAGUUUUAAAACUGCUAUGGUUGUGCUAUGACUUCCUUGAAAACCUGAUUGAUGUUUAGUAAAAAACCAAUUGGAAUCAAAAAUACACUGUUAUCUGGAUAUACAUUGCCUUCUCCAAAAUUUUAGAAAGGAUCAGGGACAGGGAAGCAAACUGUCUUAUAUCUGAAAAAAGUAGCUGGAUUAGAACAAGUUGUUGGCACAUUCCACAGACUAGGAAAAUAACCUCUCAAGACCACAGUUAAUAAAGUGGACAGUGUCAGAUGGAAGUGACCUCUAAAUGUUUUAGUUAAUUUUUUGAAAUACACUACAGAAAGCUUGGUUUAUUUUCUCUGAAUCUGCUAAAUUUGGAGGAAUAUUAAAGACUUCAUUUAUCAGAGUACAAACGUUCUAGUUAAAGCAAAUCCACCCGGUGGUGAUGGACUUUGCCUUCCUGAUGCGCGCCGUGAACUUCAUAAAUGAAGAACCACUAACCAGGUAAGAAAGUAUUUUUAUUCUUGGCAUAGCAUAUGUACUUUUUUAUUAUAUAGCAAACUGUCUGUUUCUUAUAUUUGUACCUAGAUGUGUUUGUAGUGAUAAGAUCAUGUAAACCGAAGGUGUGUGCUCCAAAUUGCCCUAAUAUUUUUUUAUCAUUGUGGUCCAGAAAAUUACAGAAAUAAAAAAGUGUUAUUUAAACUUCGAACUGAUCAUGAAAAACGAAAGAAAUGGUUUGAACUUUUGGUUUUAGCUAUUAGUAUCGAAAUCCAACUUUUAUGUGAAGACCACUUUAGGAACAGUGAAUUUACGAAUACUUUUCAUAAGAGGCUCAUUAAAUAUGCACUACCUACAAAAAAUUUAGGAAAUAAAGUCCAAGUUUCAAGUAAUAUACAAAGUGCUCCUCCAAGCCUUCAAAAUAAAUCUGGACUAAAUUCUCUUAUUAAUUGUGAGGAACAAAAUCAUGAAAUAUCAUCAACUCUAAAAAAUCCUUUAUCAUUUACUUUCACAAAAGCGAAGUAGGGCACAUAAUAGUACUGAGAGCUUAAAUGUUAAAAGAAGUUAAUUAGGUAUUUUAGAAGAAAUCAAUGAAACUAGACUCCAAAAUUUAACACCGAAAAAAACUAUAUAACAUGAAUAGGAUUCAAAAAAAAUACAUUAUGUAACUUGAAAAGUAAAAUUCUAAGCAGUAAAAAUAAAUUAAAAAUGCUAUUUAAGUUACCAGAAAAUGGAUUUUUCAAAGACAUAGACAAUUCAUCUACAAAUCCUAUUGCAUUUUCGUUUUUUUCAAAAUUACUUUAAGAAUUUAAAAAAUAAAAAGGCCGACAUAGACUACUAAGGAUAAAGUGUUUGGUUUAGCCUGACUUGGUGCGUAUGAAAUUAAAAUUAAGAGUGGAUAAAAUGAAUGUUAUGUGGAUAUAGAUA
rnacentral:misc_RNA from 1 species